rnacentral:RNase_P_RNA from 1 species
AUGCUUGGGUAAUCGCUGCGUGGUCUGGCCAUGCAGAGGAAAGUCCAUGCUCGCACAGGCUGAGAUGCCUGUAGUGUUCGUGCCUGACGAAACCAUAAGUCAGGGCAGCUCUAAUGGAGCUGACGGCAGGGAAGGCUCCUAAGUCCUUUCGGGGAUAAGGUGCUUGUACCUUGAAAGUGCCACAGUGACGAAGUUCAGCUGGAAACGGCUGAAGUGGAACGAGGUAAACCCCGCGAGCGAGCAACCCAAAUCAUGGUAGGGGCACUCUCCUGAGGGAAAUGAACCGGCAGGAGAGACAGGCAUUUGCCUGUAGAUAGAUGAUUACCACCGGAGUACGAGGCUGACCACCGUUUGCAGUACGAAGGUACAGAACAUGGCUUACAGAG